UCAAAGGUAGGGUAUAACUAGAAGGAGGGUUAGAAACUGAUUUCUGACAUCCACAAAGAAGGAAUACAAGGUAAAGGAGAGUGUGUACAUAUAUUGAAAUUGUGUGUCAGUCAUUCUGAAAUUAGGAUAAAUAUCAGUUUUUUAAAAUAAAUAAAAAUUUGCAAUUCAUUUUGUAAAGGAUCAUUUUCAAAAUAUUCAACAUUAAUUUAAAGGACAUGGUGCUUACAUGGUAAGCUUUACUUAUUUGAAAAUACUGGAUCUCUGCUAUUUCAAAGUGACAUACUGGGGAAGUUGAUUUAUUUGUUUGCCUUGUGAUCUCAGCUCUUCGAUGGGUUGAAUAAUAGUUAUAAUUUUGUAGAUUAUUCAGUAGUACCCAAUAAGUAGUUUUUCAACCCAUGUCCUCCUUCCUCCCUCUGCCCUCUAAGUAGUCCACAGUGUCUAUUGCUCCCAUUGUUCCCAAGUUUAUGUCCAUGUGUUCUCAAAGUUUAGCACCCACAUAUAAGUGAGGACAUGCAAUAUUUGGUUUUCUAUUCCUGUGUUAUUUUGCUUAGGAUUAUUGCCUUCAGCUCCAUCCAUGUUGCUACAAAGGACAUGAUUUCACUGUUUUUUUAUGGCUGUGUAGUAUUCCAUAGUAUAUAUAUAAAUAUAGAUAUAUAUAAAUCUUGAAUAAAUCAAAAUUCUCUGAGCAGCUAUAAGCUUGUAUUGUUAUUUUAUAUAUAUAUAUAUAUAUAUAUAUAUAUAUAUAUAUAUAUAUAUAUAUAUAUCACAUUUUAUUCUCCAGUCCACCACUGAUGGGCAUAUGGAUAGAUUCCAUGUCUUUGCAAUAAUGAAUAGUGCAGUAAUGAACAGACAAAUGCAUGUGUCUUUUCAGCAUAAUGAUUGACACAAAUAAAUUGAAAUACUUUCUAAGCUCAUGGAUUGAAAGAAUCAAUAUUGUUAAAAUGGUCAUGCUUCCCAAGGCAAUUUACAGAUUCUGUGCUAUUCUUAUGAAACUACCAACAUCAUUCUUUAAAUAAUUGGAAAAAUAACAUGAAAUUCAUCUGGAACCAAAAAAGAGCCUGAAUAGCCAAAGCAAUCCUAAGCAAAAAGAAUGAAGCUGGAGGCAUCACACUACCUAACUUUAAUCUAUACUACAAGGCUAUACUGAUGAAAAUUUUAUGAUGCUAGUACAAAAACAUACAUAUAGACGAAUGGAACAGAAUAAAAAAUUCAGAAACAAAGCUUC
rnacentral:lncRNA from 10 species